rnacentral:rRNA from 1 species
AAUCAACGCUGGCGGCGUGCCUAACACAUGCAAGUCGAACGCGAAAACCCCGCAAGGGGUUAGUAGAGUGGCAAACGGGUGAGUAACACGUGGGUGACCUGCCUUAGAGUGGGGGAUAACGUCCCGAAAGGGACGCUAAUACCGCAUAACAUCCUGCCUUUGAAGAGGUGGAGAUCAAAGCUGGGGACCGCAAGGCCUAGCGCUCAAAGAGGGGCCCGCGCCUGAUUAGCUAGUUGGUGGGGAAUGGCUCACCAAGGCAUCGAUCAGUAUCCGGCCUGAGAGGGCGGACGGACACACUGGGACUGAGACACGGCCCAGACUCCUACGGGAGGCAGCAGUGGGGAAUUGUUCGCAAUGGGCGCAAGCCUGACGACGCAACGCCGCGUGGAGGAUGAAGACU